GUGCUUGCUUUGGCAGCACAUAUAUUAAAACUGGAAACAACAGAGAAGAUUAGCAUAGCUCCUGUGCAAGGAUAACAGAGAAUUUGCCAAGUAUUCUAUAUUUAA